GACAGAGGCCUCGAGCGUUAGGCGGAAUCACUGGGCUUAAAGCGUGUGUAGGCGGAUCGUUAAGUGUCUCGGUGAAAUCCCACGGCUCACCCGUGGAACUGCUGGGCAUACUGGCGAUCUUGGGCCGUUCAGGGGCGACUGGAACAAGCGGUGGAGCGGUGAAAUGCGUAGAUAUCGCUUGGAACGCCGAAGGUGAAAACAGGUCGCUGGGGACGUGCCGACGCUGAGACACGAAAGCCAGGGGAGCAAACGGG
rnacentral:rRNA from 1 species